rnacentral:tRNA from 2 species
CAAAGUGUAGCUUAACUACUAAAGCAUCCGGCUUACACCCGGAAGAUUUCAACCCAUGACCACUUUGA